rnacentral:rRNA from 1 species
GACCUCAGUUCAGGUGAGAUUACCGGCUGAAUUUAAGCAUAUUACUAAGCCGAGGAAAAGAAACUAACAAGGAUUCCCCUAGUAGCAGCGAGCGAACAGGGAAGAGCCCAGCGCUGAAUCCCCCGGGCCUCGCUCGGCGGGAAAUGUAGCGUUUGGGAGGGCCCGUCAACACGGCGACUCGCUCACUGGUUCAAGUCCAACUUGAAUGGGGCCACACAGAGGGUGACAGGCCCGUAGAGCAGGAGCGGUUGUCGUGUGGGUCUCUCCUUAGAGUCGGUUUGCUUGAGAGUGCAGACUUAAGUGGGUGGUAAACUCCAUCUAAGGCUAAAUAUGACCACGAGACCGAUAGCACACAAGUACCGUGAGGGAAAGGUGAAAAGAACUUUGAAGAGAGAGUUCAAGAGUACGUGAAACUGAAGUGGUGUAAACGACGAGUUCGAAAAGUCCGAAUGGUGAGAUUCAAGCUUACCGUGCCGGUGGCCCUCGGGUUCAGAUGGCGUCGUCAGCUCGGGCUUCGGUUCGGGUCAUACGGCGUCACUCGUCCUGGGGGUAUCUGUCUGGUGCGGUGGGCUGCACUUCUCGCCUAGUAGGACGUCGCGACCCGUUGGGAUGUUCCGUUCACUGGCCCCUGGUGGAGCCCGCGCCGGAGCGUGGCCUUGUGCCGCGUUGCUGUUUGCACGGACCCGGGGUGACCUGAUCGGCGCCCGACGGUAUCAAAGCUUGGGAAGAGGCCGCACAGAGGAUGCGUUCGAUGGCCGUUUCGGCCUACACUCGGACAGGCCUGCACCCGGUCAGCGGCGCUUCU